UUUAUGUCUCUAUUCAAAAAAGUUAGUACACACAAUAUUCACAAGAAAAUUCUCAGUUAAUAUCGAUGAAAAUUUUCUUUCCGUUUUCAUCAAUCAAAGCAAAAUUUAUUAUGUUAUACCCGACCUGCAUUCGAAAGAAUUAUUUGUGCUGUUCUCAGGAGCGAACGACUCUAUUUGGUUGAAAUAGUUUUUUAAUGGAACAACUCGAUGGAUGCAAUCGACCUGUCGCAUUGCCCUUUCAGCCUAGUUUUCUAAACGCCGUGCAAUCGUUUACCUUCGAGAAGAGCCCGAAGCAUCCUUCAUGGAUCGAACUUGCAAAGGUCAAGAAGAACCUUUGUAACGAUGUCAUAGAGCAGACCCUCAGUUGGAGCGGGAGCUUCAACGAUUAUGCCUGUGACAAUGCUUUCGCCGGACCAAUGCCUCAGAAGAUGGUCCUUGUGGAUCCCAUCACAUGCUAGAGGCAAUCCGGUGGUGAAUCGAUUAUGAAUGGGAGAAGAUCGGCAAUAAUUAAAAGAGUAGGAAAAACUCUAUGGAAAGGAAAAGAUCUGCAUGGAACAGAGGAACGUGGCAGCCACCAACGGUAAGUGCUCCAGGAAGUGCUGUGCCGUUUGUAGAUUAACUACAGCGAAGGUCUUGCCACCGACGCGGGCAGGCCAGCUGUGGGAGUUGUGUCUCCACCCAGAGGCCCCCGAUAUCAACAGAUGACUGUGACUGAACUUAAAGAACGGCGCACAAAUAGGUUUGGUCGUGUGCUCUCUUGCUAUGCUCGGGUCUAGCUCGCCGGAUGGUCGGGGUUCUUCCUCACCUAAUUGUACUAUCGCACUCCACUACAUUUAUAUAGUGCACUUUAUGGAAAACUGUAAGUGAUUAUACAAAACAAAGUACACUGAAAUGCUGAUGGCGCCGACACGCCUAAUGAAAAGCCCUACUGAAUCUUUCUAUUUGGAGGGAAGCUAGAUGUUGAUUGUCCCUCUCUUCUGUACCCACCCUACCAUGACAAUGAGUUCCAGUUCUUGCAUUGUCCCUUGAUCCUGAUUAUAUAAGGCAAGACUUCAACUUCAAUAGGCAGCUUAGGACAACUUCCCUGCAACAAUGGUUAUGUUAACACGUGCACGGCACUAACAUGAGAACAUACCUUCUUUUGCUUCCAGCUUAUAUAUGUGGAAAUAUGUCUAUAUGGUUCCGAAUAGCACUAUAUAUGUGUGUGUACAAUGUGUAUGUUGGCUCGCACUUGGGAAUUAAGGAUCUUUCCGUUUCGGUAAAGUUUUCUUUACUCUCACAAUUAUUGCGAAUCUCCUCCCGUAAUCGAUUCGCAACUGGAUGGCCUCCAACAUGGUGAUAGGACUCACACGGUCCUUCUUCUCAGGCAUUUGUCUGGCGAGGCGAUGUCAAAGGCAUAUUCGUUCUGCGCUACGACAUCUUUACAACAGUUCACCUUGACCGUGGCAUCGAAGAACACUGCAUUCAGAUUCGAUAGAAGCCGAUUCGAAUGCGAAUGUCAAUGCAUUCGAGUCAAAUUUCGUUAAUGACAGCAUCCGCAUGACCGAUUAUUCGAGCACACCGGAUCCGAAGCCAUAGCCAUUCACUACUGAGGGAGCAGCAGCAGCAGCUGCCUUGCGGUUUCCGUUUGGCAUGAUGCCUGCCCCAGGAUGACAGCUACGACACCGCACACAGAUCCGGAUAGGGAUACAGAUGCGGAUAAACGAUUUGGCCUUUGUCGCGUUGGAAUUGCAGCACUUUUCUAAUGAACAACGGAUACGGGCACGGGAGAGAUGACAGGGAUGCGGCAGAUUGCUAAGGCUUGCAAAUCAAAUGUAUUCUCUCUCUGCCUGGAAAUGUGCUAUGAACAUCCUGUUAAAGUGCAUUUACAAUAAGUAAUAGUGCCAUAAAAUCUGUUAUAAAUACAUAUUUAAAUAAAUCCAUACCAAAUCUUUUGAAUAAUAUUAUUUUACUAGUUAGGCUAAAGCUAUUGGCCAUUUCAGGACGAUUCUUUGAUCGAUAUGUAAAUCAGAACGACGGACAGAUCGAAAAAAUAAAUACCAUCUAAAUAUCAAGCCCUACCUGUAAUUUAUAAACAUUCAUGCAAGCUGGGAUUCUUAUGUCUCUAUUCAAAAAAGUUAGUACACACAAAGUUCACCAGAAAAUUCUCAGUUAAUAUCGAUGAAAAUUUUCUUUCCGUUUUCAUCAAUCAAAGCAAAAUUUAUUAUGUUACAUCCGACCUGCAUUCGAAAGAAUCAUUUGUGCUGUUCUCAGGAGCGAACGACUCUAUUUGGUUGAAAUAGUUUUUUAAUGGAACAUCUCGAUGGAUGCAAUCGACCUGUCGCAUUGCCCUUUCAGCCUAGUUUUCUAAACGCCGUGCAAUCGUUUACCUUCGAGAAGAGCCCGAAGCAUCCUUCAUGGAUCGAACUUGCAAAGGUCAAGAAGAACCUUUGUAACGAUGUCAUAGAGCAGACCCUCAGUUGGAGCGGGAGCUUCAACGAUUAUGCCUGUGACAAUGCUUUCGCCGGACCAAUGCCUCAGAAGAUGGUCCUUGUGGAUCCCAUCACAUGCUAGAGGCAAUCCGGUGGUGAAUCGAUUAUGAAUGGGAGAAGAUCGGCAAUAAUUAAAAGAGUAGGAAAAACUCUAUGGAAAGGAAAAGAUCUGCACGGAACAGAGGAACGUGGCAGCCACCAGCGGUAAGUGCUCCAGGAAGUGCUGUGCCGUUUGUAGAUUAACUACAGCGAAGGUCUUGCCACCGACGCGGGCAGGCCAGCUGUGGGAGUUGUGUCUCCACCCAGAGGCCCCCGAUAUCAACAGAUGACUGUGACUGAACUUAAAGAACGGCGCACAAAUAGGUUUGGUCGUGUGCUCUCUUGCUAUGCUCGGGUCUAGCUCGCCGGAUGGUCGGGGUUCUUCCUCACCUAAUUGUACUAUCGCACUCCACUACAUUUAUAUAGUGCACUUUAUGGAAAACUGUAAGUGAUUAUACAAAACAAAGUACACUGAAAUGCUGAUGGCGCCGACACGCCUAAUGAAAAGCCCUACUGAAUCUUUCUAUUUGGAGGGAAGCUAGAUGUUGAUUGUCCCUCUCUUCUGUACCCACCCUACCAUGACAAUGAGUUCGAGUUCUUGCAUUGUCCCUUGAUCCUGAUUAUAUAAGGCAAGACUUCAACUUCAAUAGGCAGCUUAGGACAACUUCCCUGCAACAAUGGUUAUGUUAACACGUGCACGGCACUAACAUGAGAACAUACCUUCUUUUGCUUCCAGCUUAUAUAUGUGGAAAUAUGUCUAUAUGGUUCCGAAUAGCACUAUAUAUGUGUGUGUACAAUGUGUAUGUUGGCUCGCACUUGGGAAUUAAGGAUCUUUCCGUUUCGGUAAAGUUUUCUUUACUCUCACAAUUAUUGCGAAUCUCCUCCCGUAAUCGAUUCGCAACUGGAUGGCCUCCAACAUGGUGAUAGGAUUCACACGGUCCUUCUUCUCAGGCAUUUGUCUGGCGAGGCGAUGUCAAAGGCAUAUUCGUUCUGCGCUACGACAUCUUUACAACAGUUCACCUUGACCGUGGCAUCGAAGAACACUGCAUUCAGAUUCGAAGCCGAUUCGAAUGCGAAUGUCAAUGCAUUCGAGUCAAAUUUCGUUAAUGACAGCAUCCGCAUGACCGUUUAUUCGGGCACAACGGAUCCGAAGCCGUAGCAGUCCUCGAAUGAUUGGAUCUUCAUUGUAAACUUGCAAUUACAAAUGUACAAAGAUGCAAUGAAUUGCAUUGAAUCGAAUGAAUAAAAGACGAGCGCUCUUUUAUUUGAAUUAUCCCUUAUCUGAGAACUACAUAAAUACCAGUACAGUAUUGCCGCAUCGAUGUGGUAUUUUAAUUUGAUUGUGAAGUACUUAGUCACCCUAACAAUUUAGCAGUUGGACGGGGAAAUAAGAACUAUAGAACAAGCCCAUUUGCAAUAUGUAUGUAUGUAUCAGGCUCAUAACCGUAUACGAUUAACACGUUUGAUCGAUAAGUAUAUCUACAAAGUCACCACAUCCUCUUAUUCCAUGCGUCAGAACCUUCCGAAAUACUUUUAUCGCCCCUAUUUAUGGACUCCUGACCGAAUAAGUAAGCAAAUCCAAGUCAUAAAUUGAAUAUUUCGUAAUUUCAAUUUCAAU